CAGAGUUGAAAAACUCCCUAACCCUUUGUUAAUAUACCUGUUCAGUUGCUUCGGCAGGCGGCCCCAGGGCGGGGCCUCCGGCCUGCUUCGGCAGGCGCCUGCCGCUGGCGUCAAAACUCUUUGUUAUAUGUUAACUCUCUUCUGAGUCAAAACAAAAUGAAUCA
rnacentral:misc_RNA from 1 species